GAUGAACGCUGGCGGCGUGCCUAAUACAUGCAAGUCGAACGAGGUCUUCGGACCUAGUGGCGAACGGGUGAGUAACACGUAGGUACCUACCCCGAAGUGGGGAAUAACUGCCCGAAAGGGUGGCUAAUACCGCAUAAUACCACAAGGUUAACGAAGUAAUGCGCUUCGGGAGGGGCCUGCGUCCCAUUAGGUAGUUGGUAGGGUAAUGGCCUACCAAGGCGACGAUGGGUAGCUAGAUCGAGAGGUUGACCAGCCACACUGGGACUGAGAUACGGCCCAGACUCCUACGGGAGGCAGCAGUAAGGAAUCUUCCACAAUGGACGAAAGUCUGAUGGAGCAACGCCGCGUGCAGGAUGACGGCCUUCGGGUUGUAAACUGCUUUUAUACGGGAAGAUUAUGACGGUACCGUAUGAAUAAGGACCGGCUAACUACGUGCCAGCCGCCGCGGUAA
rnacentral:rRNA from 1 species